AGCUGCCAAGUCAGUCACUAAGUUACUAAAUAUUAAAAUAGAUUCUUCCUUAGUAUAACUCUUGUGUGCAUGUAAUUGGAAUUUAACUUUCAAAUGAAUAAACACCAACUGGGAAUGAAACAUUUUAUUAUUCUCAUUAUCUCAUUACAGUAAUAUUUUGCUCAAUAACAUUUUUCCAUUCAGUGCACAGGAUAUGCUGAGAUUACCUAGGCGGAAGUGUCCCAGUGAUUUGAACCUAUCUAAAGUUAGAGGAAUACUCCCUCCAGAAAAGCCAGAAUGAAAACAAAGGAUGUUCACUUCAGAGCAAGCUAUCGUAGAUAUCUACUGGGGAUAUCAAAAUGAAAUGUCUUCAGGAUCUGUGGAUGUGGACUUCAUUGUUAAUCUGAUGAUUGCUCUUCUACUACUGCAUGGAAGAACCAUAUACACUGAAUGGAAGAAAAAGCCUGAAAAUCUUCAAAAUUCAGACAUUCAGAAUGGCAUUCCAUGGGACUUCAUCACAAGAAAUCUCCUCCAAGAAGCAGAUAUUGCAAACACAGAAAGCUCCAAGAUGAGGAAGCCUGCAUUCAAACUGGGUGUCACAGAAAGCGAAGCACAGGAAGAGUUGAUAAAGAAAAAAGACCUGGCUUAA
ensembl:lncRNA